UACGGAGGGUGCGAACGUUAAUCGGAAUCACUGGGCGUAAAGCGCGCGUAGGCGGUUUGCUAAGUGGGAUGUGAAAUCCCCGGGCUUAACCUGGGAAUUGCAUUUCAAACUGGCCGACUGGAGUACGGUAGAGGGAGGUAGAAUUUCCUGUGUAGCGGUGAAAUGCGUAGAUAUAGGAAGGAAUACCAGUGGCGAAGGCGGCCUCCUGGAUCGAUACUGACGCUGAGGCGCGAAAGCGUGGGGAGCAAACAGG
rnacentral:rRNA from 1 species